CGGUCUGCCGCCAGUUCUGACGUAAGGUAGGUCACGCAGCAGCAGCCGCGUCGUGUCGCAUGGCUGUUUUACGGAAUGGAUUGAUGUGACAAUUAGGCGUCGACAUGGCGGACGCGGACGUGGUUCCCGAAGACACUGCACAGAAGGAAGAAGUCGCCGCGCACUUCCAAGCACCAGCGAUACAACACAACCCGGACGGUUGGGGUCCGUGCGAGUUGCCGGACCAGUUUAAGGAUAUUCCUUACCAGCCAUUUUCAAAAGGCGACAGAUUAGGCAAGAUUUCUGACUGGACCACGCCGGCCUUCCAAGACAAGAAGUUCCCAAACAAAUAUGCAUCACAAUUUGGUUCGGGCAGUCAAUACGCUUAUUACCACGAUGAAGACGAGACCACUUUCCACUUGGUGGACACCACACGUGUGCAGAAGCCCCCGUACCAACGCGGUCGCUUCCGUCACAACCAACGCAACAUGCGUGGUCGUGGCGGCCAGCGCGGUGGAAUGAAUCAGAUGCAGCAACUGGGAAAACUUAAGUUAAGAGAGCGAGAACGCAAAGGACAAGCGAAGCGUUGGGGCAGGCAACAAGGUCUACGCAAUUACAAAAAUCAGCCGCCCAUUAAGAUACGCGAUGCAUCCGUAACGGUGCGACCCGAUUGGACAACUAUUGAAGAAAUGGAUUUCCCUCGAUUGGCCAAACUGUCAUUGCCCGGCGUGAAGGACGGUGAAGAUGUACUUUGCUGCGGUUCGCUCGAGUAUUACGAUAAGACGUACGAUCGUGUCAACGUCAAGAGCGAAAAACCACUGCAGAGAAUCGAUCGCGUCUUCCAUACGGUCACCACGACCGACGAUCCGAUCAUUCGUAAAUUAUCGAAGACUGAAGGCAACGUUUACGCCACUGACGCGAUUUUGGCCACCAUCAUGUGCUGCACCCGCAGUAAUUACUCCUGGGACAUAGUUAUCGAGAAGAUCGGCGAUAAGCUGUUCUUCGACAAGCGCGACAACACAGAGUUUGAUCUGUUGACGGUGAACGAGACCAGCGUUGAACCGCCGCAAGAAGACGGCAACUCGCUGAACUCGCCGAGAAAUUUAGCCCUCGAAGCAACCUUUAUCAACCAUAAUUUUUCGCAACAGGUACUCAAGUCGAACGAGCCACGUUACAAAUUUGAAGAGGGCAAUCCGUUCAUCUCGGAGGAAGAGGAGAGCGACGUAGCCAGCGUGGCUUAUCGGUAUCGCAAGUGGGAUCUUAACAAUGGCAUAGUGCUCGUCGCGCGAUGCGAGCACGAUGCAGUGAUGCAGGGACCCAAUAACGAGAAUCAAUUCCUGACCAUUAAGGCGUUGAACGAAUGGGACUCGAAAGUAGCUAACGGUGUCGAGUGGCGUCAGAAGCUGGACACGCAGCGUGGUGCAGUCUUGGCUAACGAAUUGCGCAACAAUGCUUGUAAGCUCGCAAAAUGGACCGUACAAGCACUGUUGGCCGGUUCGGAUCAGCUAAAAUUCGGAUACGUAUCGCGUGCCAUUGUACGGGAUUCCAGCAAGCACGUGAUUCUCGGCACCCAACAAUACAAGCCCAACGAGUUCGCGACGCAGAUCAAUCUGAACAUGGACAACGCUUGGGGCAUCUUGAGAUGCAUCAUCGAUAUUUGUAUGAAGCAGAAGGAUGGCAAAUAUCUCAUAAUGAAGGAUCCGAACAAGCCUAUGAUCCGAUUGUACGAUAUUCCUAAUAAUACUUUUGAGAGCGAAGGCGAGGAGGAUGAGGACGAUGACGAGCCCGUAAAUGAUGCGUUCCAGAGUUAAUAACAUCCACACUAAGUUCAUUCGUCAUUAAUUGGUUACGACGAUAUUACAUGACGUUUUUACUCAUACCUUUGAGCACGGAUCCCACAGGAGCGCCCAAUCCCUUACUCAGGCAGAAGGUGACCGAGUCGAACGGGGCGACCAGAUCUUUCACUGGUACCUUUGACGCAACGGAAGCGUUCCACAAUCGCGCCC